AGAGUUUGAUCCUGGCUCAGAAUCAACGCUGGCGGCGUGCCUCAGACAUGCAAGUCGAACGAGAAAGUCCCCUUCGGGGGAUGAGUAAAGUGGCGCACGGGUGAGUAACACGUAGGUAAUCUACCUUCGGGUGGGGAAUAACCCAGGGAAACUUGGGCUAACACCGCAUAAUGCAGCGGCACCACAUGGUGACAGUUGUUAAAGCGGGGGAUUUUAGGACCUCGCGCCUGAAGAGGAGCCUGCGGCGGAUUAGCUAGUUGGUAGGGUAACGGCUUACCAAGGCGACGAUCCGUAACCGGCCUGAGAGGGCGGUCGGUCACACUGACACUGACAUACGGGUCAGACUCCUACGGGAGGCAGCAGUCGGGAAUUUUGGGCAAUGGGCGAAAGCCUGACCCAGCAACGCCGCGUGAAGGAUGAAAUCCUUCGGGAUGUAAACUUCGCAAGAAUAGGAAGAAUUAGUAGAGGCUAAUACCCCCUAUGAUGACGGUACUAUUUGUAAGCUCCGGCUAACUCCGUGCCAGCAGCCGCGGUAAUACGGGGGGAGCAAGCGUUGUUCGGAUUUACUGGGCGUAAAGGGCGCGUAGGCGGUCAGCACAAGUCAGUUGUGAAAUCUCCGGGCUUAACUCGGAAAGGUCAACUGAUACUGUGCGACUAGAGUGCAGAAGGGGCAACUGGAAUUCUCGGUGUAGCGGUGAAAUGCGUAGAUAUCAAGAGGAACACCAGUGGCGAAGGCGAGUCCCUGGACAAUUCCUGACACUGAGGCACGAAAGCUAGGGGAGCAAACAGGAUUAGAUACCCCGGUAGUCC
rnacentral:rRNA from 1 species